GCUCAGAAUGAGGUAGGGUACUGGCACAGUGCUCUGCUGAAUAUUUUCACCCAUGUCUUUUGCGCACUUUUUGUUUCCUGGGCGAGUUUGCUCGCCACCAGGACCCCCAUAUGAACCUUUUUUGUUUUUGCACUCAGCGUCAGUACAAUAAUUUAAUCUAUUAAAACUUUCAACAACGGAUCUCUUGGUUCUGGCAUCGAUGAAGAACGCAGCGAAAUGCGAUACGUAGUGUGAAUUGCAGAAUUCAGUGAAUCAUCGAAUCUUUGAACGCACAUUGCGCCCUUUGGUAUUCCAAAGGGCAUGCCUGUUCGAGCGUCAUUUGUACCCUCAAGCUUUGCUUGGUGUUGGGCGUCUUAUUGUCUCUCCGUCUCGGGGAGACUCGCCUUAAAACAAUUGGCAGCCGGCCUACUGGUUUCGGAGCGCAGCACAAAUUUGCGCUUGCAAUCAGCCAAGGGCGGCAUCCAUGAAGCCUUUUUUCUCUCACAUUUUGACCUCGGAUCAGGUAGGGAUACCCGCUGAACUUAAGCAUAUCAAUAACCCGGAGGAAAUAUUCCCGACCACGCGGGA
rnacentral:rRNA from 1 species